rnacentral:lncRNA from 1 species
AUCGCCAACAGUACUGUGCCGCCGUCGCCGGUCACGAGAGGAAGCAGGAGGACGCGGAUGGAGUAGAGGCCCGGCAGAUUCCCCCUGAAAGGGGGAUCGUAGGUUCUGGUAAGUGUUAUUUUCGGUCGAGUUUAUUAUCUCUAUCUUGUUCGUCCAUCGGCUUCUUCGUUCCUCCUCCCUGCAUUCUAUUUCCGCAUUAGGGUUUCAUUGUGGGAGAAAAUUAGGGUUUCGGUUAGGUCCAAAGCUUUUGUUCGUGGAGCUUGGUUGAUUUAACUUCGUAGGACCAAGAUUUUGGUUGCCGAGACCGAUUAUGUGACAUCUGACAGAAGGCACAAGAGACUGAUGCGCCCCUGGCUACUGGUUGGACGGUUCAUGGUAAGGCUGGUGCCGAGCAACCACGCCUUGAUGGAGGAACUGAUCGCUCUGGCCUCACUUCUUUUCAUGUCCUUCUAUGUCAUUGCCCCCUUUUCCCUUGGGAUUUUGUGAUUUCAAGAUGCUUGUCUUUCUGAGACCGACUCGAUCUCUUCUGGUCAUUCUCCUCGCCCUUCUUCUUGAUCAAGAACUCCGAGCUCUCUGCGAUGGCGGAGUCACGAGGGCCUGCGACUUGUACUUUCCCGCUGUCGCCGGUCACGAGAGGACACAGUAUGUCAAACCCUCGUGUCGAUGUGAACUCUUGAAGAUCAAUCUAUUAUCCCUAGAAUAACUUUUAUCCAUCGAGCGACGACUCUUUCACUCGACAUGGAUAGUAGUUUUUUCUAGUGAUUCUUCGCUAAUGAUCUCCAUGCUGUUGAAAUAACAAUUGAUUGGCCUUGUGUAAUUAUUGUUCAUAGUGAAGGUAUUUAGAUCAAUGACCAUCCGACACGUGACUAUUGAUGUGGUAGCCCAAUCAACCUCG